GAACUCCUUCCCAUGAUCCAGUGCAACUUUUUCUUCUUGGGCACCCAGCGAAGCGAAUCAACUUACUCCUCCAGAGGUUCCUUGGGAUUGCCAGAUAAAUGAAGUGAAGCUCCCUGAGGUGAAGCGGGUAAAGUAAGCAGGACCUAAACUAGGAAACAGGUCUCAAACUAUGCUGUCUGCAAUGAGGGGUGUUGUUGGCUGGAAUACUCUACCACUUCAUUAGCACAGGCUCCGGACGUGCAGGCUCAGCGGCCAUGGCUCACGGGCCCAGCCGCUCCGCGGCAUGUGGGAUCUUCCCGAACCGGGGCACGAACCCGUGUCCCCUGCAUCGGCAGGCAGACUCUCAACCACUGCGCCACCAGGGAAGCCCCUACCGGCAUUUUUUUAAAUGAAGCUUGUAUUUUGCUAUACAACACCUCAGAAACUGCUCUCAUUGCCAUCAGUAUGCUUCAUAUUCCAGUGGAUACGUUCAUCAUCAACUUACCUGAUCUAUGGGCUACAUUCAGCUCAACUAUUCUUUCCCUAUUAAAACAUUUUCUUCUCUUGGCUUUUAUGACUCCCUUCCAAGUCCACUGCCACCACU